GUGAUCAAAAUUUGGACACUUGGCAACUGAUCAGAGUAUUUGGAGAAAAAUCGGGAUAUCCAUGAAGACUCUUUCAUGAUCAUCUGGCCACUGGUCACUUCUGGAGAUAAUCAAUAAGAGUCCUUAGAGAAGGCGGCCCGCAGGCUGGAUGCAUCACGCGCAGGCUACGUCCACCCCGGCUCCGCAAAGGCAAAAAAGUCACCAUUCAUCUCGUGAUGUGAUUGAGUUUGAUACCCGUGCCUUAGAGGGUUUUAGGACCAUUUUAAGAAAUAUUGCUAUAGAUAAUCAUUAUACUGUAUUCACUUUUUGA